GUGUUUGCGGGCGUGGUAUCAUCAAGAUUCACAUCCAUCAUGCCUCUCUCUCUCUCUCUCUCUCUCUCUCUCUCUCUCUCUCUCUCUCUCUCUCUAGGUCUAUAUGGAGCAGUUUGUAUUUUUUCCAAAUGAGAUAUAUAGAUGCAUAGAUAGAUAACAUACUUUGGAUGAGAAUCUUGAUGAUGCUGCAUCCGCACACAA
rnacentral:pre_miRNA from 1 species